AAAGUCGCUUACUGUAAGGGUGGCAUCUAAGGACUGAUAGUUGGGAAAGUCCGAGGCCUUGAGUACGUAUCCAGUUUCAUUAAUAUCACGGAACUUCAUAUAGAGCAGCUCUCGGGCUGGCCCUGGAUAAAGUUCCAGGUAGUUGGAGGCUGUUUUUUUCUUGUGGGACUCUCUUGAAACUUCUUAUGUGAUCCAUAUUGUGGUAUUGACUUGAUGACAUCAUCUUAAAGCUUUUCGGAAGAACUGAGAGCAACACUUGGAAAGAUCCAUAAAUAAUAUCUGAAGUGAGGAUACUACUUUGGGAUGGAACACCAGAAAAAAGAGAUUGUAUAUCCUGAACCAGAUAUGUGUGUUAAAAAAGACCUUUUCAUAGAUCUAAACCCAAGUAUAGUGAAGCUUAAAGGGACACUAAACCCAAAUUAUUUCUUUAAUGAUUCAGAUAGAGCAUGGAAUUUUUAGCAACUUUCUAAUUUACUCAGAUUAUCAUUUUUCUUCGUUAUCUUUAUUUAAAAGGUAGGAAUGCUAAGCUUAGGAGACGGCCCAUUUUUGGUUCAGAACCUGGGUUAUGCUUGCUUAUUGGUUUGCUAAAUGUAGCCACCAAUAACCAAGCUCUAUCCAUGGUGCUGAACCUAUAAUGGGCUGACUGCUAAGCAUUACAUUCCUGCGUUUUAAAUAAAGAUAGUAAGAGAACGAAGAAAAAUUGAUAGGAGUAAAUUAGAAAGUUGCUAAAAAUCUCAUGCUCUAUCUGAAUCAUGAAAGAAAAAAAAAUUAAAUUUAGUAUCCCUUUUAAGGACCAAAAAAACUGACAAGAGAGGGCAAGGGGAACGUUGUUAAUUAAAAAUGUUUCACCUUUACUACAUUUUAUAAAAGUACAUUUAACAUU